GUCUAUGACCAUACCACCCUGAACACACCCAAGAUCUUGUCUGAUCUUGAAAGCUAAGCACGGUCAGGCCUAGUUGGUAUUUGGAUGGGAGAGAUAUGUUCUAAUACCAGUCUUUAUAAUGA
ensembl:rRNA 5S_rRNA 5S ribosomal RNA